CUAAAGGAUUAAGCCAUGCAUGUCUAAGUAUAAACGAUUUAAUCGUGAAACCGCGAAUGGCUCAUUAUAACAGCUAUAAUUUACUUGAUCUUGACACAAUCCUACUUGGAUAACUGUGGUAAUUCUAGAGCUAAUACAUGCAUUAAAGCUCUGACCUCACGGGAAGAGUGCAUUUAUUAGAACAAAACCAAGCGGCUUCGGCUGUUUCUGGUUGACUCAUAGUAACUGAGCUGAUCGCAUGGUCUUGCACCGGCGACGUGUCUUUCAAGUAUCUGCCGUAUCAACUUUCGAUGGUAGUGUAUCUGACUACCAUGGUGAUCACGCGUAACGGAGAAUAAGGGUUCGGCUCCGGAGAGUUCGCCUGAGAAAUCGCGAACACAUCUAAGGAAGGCAGCAGGCGCGAAAAUUACCCACUCUCAGCACGAGGAGGUAGUGACGAAAAAUAACGAGACCGUUCUCUUAUGAGGCCGGUCAUCGGAAUGGGUACAAUUUAAACCCUUAACGAG
rnacentral:rRNA from 1 species